UCCGGUUUGACACCGGCAGUCCCGCUAGAGUCCUCAGCAUAACCUGUUAGCAACUAACGGUAAGGGUUUCGCUCGUUAAGGGACUUAACCCGACACUUCACAGCACGAGCUGACGACAGCCAUGCAGCACCUGUGCACGUUCCACCCAGAGGGUGUGGCUCCCCUUUCAGGGAGUUAAUCCGUGCAUGUCAAACCCAGGAUAAGGUUCUUCGCGUUGCUUCGAAUUAAGCCACAUGCUCCACCGCUUGUGUGAGCCCCCGUCAAUUCCUUUGAGUUUUAGCCUUGCGACCGUACUCCCCAGGCGGUGCACUUAUCGAUUUCUUUUCGGCUCCGAAACCGUCAGAGGUACCGGAACCUAGUGCACAUCGUUUACGGCGUGGACUAC
rnacentral:misc_RNA from 1 species